AGCCAAUUUAUUGGCUAAUUCGAAUUCGUCUAUACAAUUCAUAAAAUUCUUUCUUAUUUCUUAUUGUUGAAAUCCAAAAUUAAAGUCUCUUGGCUCUCUUCACGCUUUCUCACAAAAAGAUUAAAAAAUAGAUUUUUAUUUUUGAAGUUUGGAUAAACCAUUGCUUCGUCUGGUGUCUACAAUACAUAUAACUCAUUAUAGUACUAAUUUCAUUUUUACCAGAUCGAAAAAUUUUAUGUUGAAAAGAAAAAUUUAUAGAUCCAAUGUCACAUUCCGUAAAAAAUUACGAUACAUGUAUAGGAUGCACUCAAUGUGUACGAGCUUGUCCAACAGAUGUAUUAUAAAUGAUACCCUGGGAUGGAUGUAAAGCCAAGCAAAUUUCUUCCGCACCGAGAACCAAAGAUUGUGUGGGUUGUAAGAGAUGUGAAUCUGCGUGCCCGACAGAUUUUUUAAGUGUCCGCGUUUAUUUAGGGCCUGAAACAACACGUAGCAUGGCUCUAUCUUAUUGAUACAUCGAAAGAGCACAC